CAUGUACUCUCUCCGUCCGAAUUACUUGUCGCAGCAAAUGGAUGUAUCUAGAACUAAAAAUUAUCUAGAUACAUCCAUUUCUACGACAAGUAAUUCAGAACGGAGGGAGUACUAU
rfam:Triticum aestivum genome assembly, contig: Triticum_aestivum_CS42_TGACv1_scaffold_146880_2BS